UCCCUGGUGGCUUAGCUGGUAAAGAAUCCUCCUGCUAAGAGGGAAACCUGGGUUCGAUCCCUCGGUUGGGAA
rnacentral:tRNA from 1 species